rnacentral:tRNA from 1 species
GGAGAGGUGGCCGAGCGGUCGAAGGCGCACGCCUGGAAAGUGUGUAUACGGCAACGUAUCGAGGGUUCGAAUCCCUCCCCCUCCGCCA